UACAGAGGUCUCAAGCGUUGUUCGGAUUCAUUGGGCGUAAAGGGUGCGUAGGCGGCGCGGUAAGUCGGGUGUGAAAUCUCGGAGCUUAACUCCGAAACUGCAUUCGAUACUGCGGUGCUUGAGGACUGGAGAGGAGACUGGAAUUCAUGGUGUAGCAGUGAAAUGCGUAGAAAUCAUGAGGAAGACCAGUGGCGAAGGCGGGUCUCUGGACAGUUCCUGACACUGAGACACGAAGGCCAGGGGAGCAAACGGG
rnacentral:rRNA from 1 species